rnacentral:lncRNA from 1 species
AGAGACGGAGGAGGGAGGUCUAGCCUGACGCUCUGUGCAAAACCCACACAACUUUGCAAGUUCACGCUUCUGCACCCAGACGCCCAUUCAUCUUCGCCGUGAUCCUCAACCCAACCGCCAGGCGACGCAAUCUUAACAACCUCGAACGCCUCGCUGGCUGACGUAUGAAUUGUUAUGACUGAAUGAUACACGGACUGCGGCGGCUCCCACUGGCACCUUAAUGAUAACAAGACAGAGCUAAAAACUCAAUGUUCUCACGCACCAAGCGCGCCCCAGGACGCGCCUGAUCCUCGGAUGUAAAGACGAAGAGGAAGUAAUCUAAGUAAGGAACCACUCGAG